UACGUAGGGUCCGAGCGUUGUCCGGAAUUAUUGGGCGUAAAGGGCUCGUAGGCGGUCUGUCGCGUCGGGAGUGAAAACUCAGGGCUUAACCCUGAGCCUGCUUCCGAUACGGGCAGACUAGAGGUAUGCAGGGGAGAACGGAAUUCCUGGUGUAGCGGUGAAAUGCGCAGAUAUCAGGAGGAACACCGGUGGCGAAGGCGGUUCUCUGGGCAUUACCUGACGCUGAGGAGCGAAAGCCAGGGGAGCAAACGGG
rnacentral:rRNA from 1 species